rnacentral:rRNA from 1 species
UACAGGGGGUGCAAACGUUGCUCGGAAUCAUUGGGCGUAAAGCGCACGUAGGCGGUUCGUUAUGUCGGAUGUGAAAGCCCUUGGCUUAACCGAGGAAGUGCAUCCGAAACUGGCGUGCUAGAGUACGAAAGAGGAUCGCGGAAUUCCCGGUGUAGAGGUGAAAUUCGUAGAUAGCGGGAGGAACACCGGUGGCGAAGGCGGCGAUCUGGGUCGAUACUGACGCUGAGGUGCGAAAGCGUGGGGAGCAAACAGG